rnacentral:rRNA from 1 species
GAUGAACGCUAGCGGGAGGCUUAACACAUGCAAGCCGAGGGGUAUAGUUCUUUCGGGAACUAGAGACCGGCGCACGGGUGCGUAACGCGUAUGCAACUUGCCCUACUGAAAAGGAUAGCCCUUCGAAAGGAGGAUUAAUACUUUAUAACAGAUUUAAUGGCAUCAUUAGAUUUUGAAAGAUUUAUCGCAGUAGGAUAGGCAUGCGUAAGAUUAGUUAGUUGGUGAGGUAACGGCUCACCAAGACGAUGAUCUUUAGGGGGCCUGAGAGGGUGAACCCCCACACUGGUACUGAGACACGGACCAGACUCCUACGGGAGGCAGCAGUGAGGAAUAUUGGACAAUGGGUGGAAGCCUGAUCCAGCCAUCCCGCGUGUAGGAUGACGGCCUUAGGGGUUGUAAACUACUUUUAUCUGGGGAUAAACCUACUUACGUGUAAGUAGCUGAAGGUACCAGAAGAAUAAGCACCGGCUAACUCCGUG